AAAGGGAGUUGAUGUGGUUUCCUUUGCAAAUGUGUGGGUCUCUAAAGCAGAACUGUCUCCCGCUGGCUGGAGGGCUGCCUGCAGGCUCCAUGCACGUGGGCAGUUCUUGGGGACAGAUGUGCUUCCCCAAAGGUGCUAGAGCAGAGAGCAGGCAGGUGUGGGACCUCCCACAAUUGCCACUUUUCCCAAAUUAUCCCAAUUCCUCAGAGUGUAAAAACAUAUCAAGUAAAAUAAGGGUAAUUUCUUUAGUUGUCUUGUAAUGAAAAUGCACGUAUUAACUGAAUUUUAUCCUCUUUUAUCAUUGAGGGGAGAAGGCAGCAAAGCACCCCAAUACGAAGAGAUGAAUGAUAAUCAAGGAAUGAGUGAAUUUGUCCAGUCGCGUAAACAUUGACAGAGACAAAGCAGCAUCACACUUCUUCAUUCACGAUUGCAAGUCCUGUGGGUCGUUAACUUUUUUGUUGUUAUUGAUGUUGAUGGUGUGAUAGGCUGGGCCAUUCCCACAACAGCAUUGCUUGUUUCGGACUCUUAUUAGCUUGAUCAAUGCGAUCGCCUCUUCCUACUGAUCCUCCGUGCCAGCGUCUCCUCACUGUGUUCUGAGGCUCCUGUAAUCUCUCCCCAUGUCAACCACUGCCUCUGUGCUGACAAUUCUCCAUCUCUAACCUCGAUUUCUAGGUGGCCUACCUGGUUGGGUGGUCCAGACUUCCACGCCUGAGAGCCCGAGCCCUUGGUCGUCACGUCCUCCUUUGGCUUUGGCUGCUGCUCUUGUCCAUUCACCAUCAAAUAUGGAUGAAAGAGUCCAAGGCGACACCUUGAUGGAUCUCCUGAGUGCCGAAUGGAGUCAGUAGCUUCAUUGUGCAGUAGCUUCAUCCUCCUGAGAAUCCCCCUGCGAUUCCCCAGGAGUCCUUAAUUCCUCUCAGCACCAUUUGAGAUGAGCAACUACACAAGACAAAGACGAAAGGCUUUUUCAGCUCAAAAAUCCUGUGAUUCUUUGAUUCUAAGAAGAGAUUUUCUUACAAGGAGUUUGCCUAAGUGUCCACACGGCUUGUGUCUCCUCCCAGCAGCCGGCCUGCUGGUGUGUGUGCUGUGUGUGGAGAGUGGCCUUAGGCCUGUGUUGUGAGUGAUGUCUGCAGAGCAUGGGGUUGAUUUGGAAGAAGGUGUGAUCCGAAGUUGUGUUUGACCUGAGCUCCUGUCACCCCUGAAGGCAGCAGAGGAUCUCCUGUCAGUGACCCAGGAGGACAGCUUUCUGAAGGACAUUCUGCCCAUUGCACAGAGGGGCUUUUGUGAUUGGUUUGCCCAGAUGUGACUUUUUCCCCUACCUUUGAAGGCCUAGAUUGGGUUUCCCAUUUCUUGGCCCUUUGGAAAGGCCAAUGGCUCCCUGUCUGACAGGCUGCCCUGAGCAGCAGGUGCUCCAUUUAGACCCAGGCUGCCCCAAUCCCAGCUCUGAUCUGACUCUCAGCUCUGAGGCUCCAUUGAGUCCCUGGGCCUCAGGGACCCUGUUCAGGCUUUGCUGAUGGUGGCAUCAAGUGACCUCCGAGCCACCUCCACGUUGGCUCAGACUGAGGAAACUGGUGAUCUUGUCUUGCUGUUUGCAAUACUUGAAGACAAAAACAGAACUUGUGCUGCAUUCUCAAGAAAGAAGAGACAACUGUUCCUGUACCUCACUCUUGUAGAUAUCUGUAUGAAGAAGCAGUGAUGGGUGCAUGCAAGCUAGGGAGCAUCAAGGCUCCCACUGCGUGGGCGCCAGCUGACCCCUGACCUCGUUUUCAUCUGUUGCUCUGGUCAUGGCUCUGAGAUCUGGGCAACCUGAGCCAGCUUGUGCAUUCCUUACCCUUGUGCUUUUGCACUAUCCAUCCCUGUCCCCUAGAACUCCCUCCAGUACAGUCUGCUCCACCCCAUCCCAUCCCAUCCCAUCCCAUGCCAUCCCAUCCCCUCACCUCACUCCAUCCUACCCCAUCCUACCACAUCCCACCCCAUCCCAUUCCAUCCCAGCCCACACCACCCCACCCCACCCCACCCCAUCCCACCUCACCCCAUCCCAUUGCCUCAUCCCACCCCAUCCCAUCACAUCUCACCUUACC
rnacentral:lncRNA from 10 species